rnacentral:rRNA from 1 species
UACGGGGGGGGCAAGCGUUGUUCGGAAUUACUGGGCGUAAAGGGCUCGUAGGCGGCCAACUAAGUCAUACGUGAAAUCCCUCGGCUUAACCGGGGAACUGCGUCUGAUACUGGAUGGCUUGAGUUCGGGAGAGGGAUGCGGAAUUCCAGGUGUAGCGGUGAAAUGCGUAGAUAUCUGGAAGAACACCAGUGGCGAAGGCGGCUCUCUGGGACGGUACUGACGCUGAGACGCGAAAGCGUGGGGAGCGAACAGG